AACGAACGCUGGCGGCAGGCUUAACACAUGCAAGUCGAGCGCCCCGCAAGGGGAGCGGCAGACGGGUGAGUAACGCGUGGGAACGUACCCUUUGCUACGGAAUAGCUCCGGGAAACUGGAAUUAAUACCGUAUGUGCCCUACGGGGGAAAGAUUUAUCGGCAAAGGAUCGGCCCGCGUUGGAUUAGCUAGUUGGUGGGGUAAUGGCCUACCAAGGCGACGAUCCAUAGCUGGUCUGAGAGGAUGAUCAGCCACAUUGGGACUGAGACACGGCCCAAACUCCUACGGGAGGCAGCAGUGGGGAAUAUUGGACAAUGGGCGCAAGCCUGAUCCAGCCAUGCCGCGUGAGUGAUGAAGGCCUUAGGGUUGUAAAGCUCUUUCACCGGAGAAGAUAAUGACGGUACCUGGAGAAAAAGCCCCGGCUAACUUCGUGCCAGCCGCCGCGGUAACAC
rnacentral:rRNA from 1 species